UUAGCAUACCUUCAAGCGGACGUCCCACGAAACCGUCAAUUUCUUUGCUCUUAUGCCAUUGUGAAAUGGUGGUCCAGAUCCCACUCUCCUUCGAUUGGUUUUAGCGAAGAAUCUCGAGACCACGCGUCUGCAGAUCAAAUGGCCUUCAAACUUCUGAGACCGAUCCUUCGAUUGCAAAUGGUGGAUGUCUUCGCGCCAAUCUCUUUCUUUAAUUUAUCACCGGUAAAUGUCUUUGCGCCAAUCUGAGAUUUCUACUUUUCAGAUGAUUAUUCGUAUUAUUAAGGUUGAUCGCAUCUUCUGCUUGUGAGUUUAAACACAUUAAGAAGUUGAUGUUUUAUCCAGUUUGAAUUGAGGAAUAGAUUCUCAAAAUGAAGCAGGUUGUACUCUGUCGCUUACGGAAUUAAGCUAGAGCCAUGAAUUGUCUCCAUCUCGCCGCUAAGUACCCUGUUAUGAUUCUAGCUCGUUACCUUCCUUUCCUUUUCCUUGUUCGUGGGGGCAUUCGGAUACCGAAGUUAAGAUCGCACAAUACGAAUGAGGUUAUAUUUUAUGGAGUGUCAUGCUGUUUUCGUCUUUGGUUGUGGUUGCAGGACUGCCCUAUUUUCUUCAACUAAGACGUCAAGGUUUUCAUCCCAAGUAUUAUGCAUGCUUAUUAUUUGAUCCAUGUUUUCCCUGGGAUUUUUGACGGAUUAUGUAUGCCCGUGGACUAACAAAAGUUUGAUUAACAUGGAAAUCUUUUAAUCGAUGAAAUUUCUGCCUCAAUGUGAUAUGCUUUUAGUCACAAUAUACAAAUUACUUGCUCGAGUUGGAAUUCAUGGUUUUUCUGGUUCAUGAAAGAAUAUAUUGAAGCAGCGAAGUCCGUGUUUUCUAUUGGAGAGUAUUGGGAUUCUUGUAAUUAUAAUGGCCAUGACUUGGACUACGAUCAAGAUAGACAUAGAAUGGAUAAUAGAUUGGAUUGACAACACAGGAUAACUUUCAUCUGCUUUUGAUUUUACAACCAAGGGAGUUCUUCAGGUCUCCCUGUAUGUGAGGCCAUUGCAAACCCCCGUCCCCCCUCCAAAGUGUCCAUUGGCCCCUUCCUGCCAGCCAUAUCAUGGAGGCAUCCAAACUGUAUCAGCUUGGAAUAGAGUGUUAUCUUGUUUGCAGUCUAAUUCUCGCUCACUCCGCUGUGGCUUUCUUUCAGCUAUGCUUCGUUUUAUAGAAUAAUCUAACCGUCCUGUGUGGACACUACUACCUUGUCCCAGUCAUCAAACUUGGGCAACUUGGUUUUACCUGCCACUUGAUUAAUGGAUAGACCGAUUAAUUUAUUCUCGAGAGAUUCUCUACAUGCAGGAUUGUAAAGUAGAUUUGCUGAGGACUCCAAGUGCAGCAGCGAUGAACACCUCUCUCUGACGUCCACCGCCGAACCAUAAUUGGGGAUUCUCAGGUACAGUUAAAAAACUGUUGAUUUUUAUUGACUUUGAGACAUUUUCAUUACGGCAGAUAUCCACUUUUUAACCACAACGGCUCGCAUUCAUUGGAAACAGUGUGGGAAUCCCAUCCAGCUGUGCGCCGAAGAUGCUUCCAUUAUUACCUUCUCCUGAGGCGGCGCGUGCGUUUCGCGGUCGGCCAUUCACGGCGGCGCUUUCAGGCUACGUGCUUGUUUCGUCCCCCGCCGUCGGCUGCCAGCAGGAAAUGGUUUUGCAGAUGGUGUUUAUUUUAGGUCCGUUUGGUAUUUUGGAAUUAGAGCCUAUGAAGAUCUGAUAUGAUCUUCUUCAAGCUUUGGAGCGAGCUAGCUAGGGUUUCGCCUUAUAAUUUUCUGCAGACGGACAGUCGUAGGGAAUAAUUCUCUCUCCAAUUUAUUAAAAAUCAUUUUGUUAAU